UCCCUGGUGGGCCAGUGGUUAAGACUCUGAGCUCCCAACGCAGGGGGCACAGGUUCAAUCCCUGGUCAGGGAA
rnacentral:tRNA from 1 species